rnacentral:rRNA from 1 species
UUGAACGCCGGCGGCAUGCCUUACACAUGCAAGUCGAACGGUAGAGGGGCAACCCUUGAGAGUGGCGAACGGGUGAGUAAUGCAUCGGAACGUGCCCAGUCGUGGGGGAUAACGCAGCGAAAGCUGUGCUAAUACCGCAUGUGAUCUGUGGAUGAAAGCGGGGGAUCGCAAGACCUCGCGCGAUUGGAGCGGCCGAUAUCAGAUUAGGUAGUUGGUGGGGUAAAAGCCCACCAAGCCGACGAUCUGUAGCUG